AAUAAGAUGCCUGAUAAAAGGAUUAUCUUGAUGUGAUAAAUUAUGUUUCUUAACUCUUAUUA
rnacentral:tRNA from 1 species